GAGUUUGAUCGUGGCUCAGAUUGAACGCUGGCGGCAUGCCUUACACAUGCAAGUCGAACGGCAGCAUGAUCUAGCUUGCUAGAUUGAUGGCGAGUGGCGAACGGGUGAGUAAUACAUCGGAACGUGCCCUGUAGUGGGGGAUAACUAGUCGAAAGAUUAGCUAAUACCGCAUACGACCUGAGGGUGAAAGUGGGGGACCGCAAGGCCUCAUGCUAUAGGAGCGGCCGAUGUCUGAUUAGCUAGUUGGUGGGUAAAGGCCCACCAAGGCGACGAUCAGUAGCUGGUCUGAGAGGACGAUCAGCCACACUGGGACUGAGACACGGCCCAGACUCCUACGGGAGGCAGCAGUGGGGAAUUUUGGACAAUGGGCGAAAGCCUGAUCCAGCAAUGCCGCGUGUGUGAAGAAGGCCUCGGUGUAG
rnacentral:rRNA from 1 species